AAAAAAGGAUUUGAUUCCAUUCUCUCACUGCCACGUGUCCCUUAAACCUCUCCACAUUUAUUCCUAACGUCUCUCACACUGAAGGACAAAAAAUCCAUAAAAAAUAAAAAAUUCCUUACAAAUCCUUAUAUCUCUCUCUCACGAAUCCACUCAAAGGGAGACACCUCACCCUUAUCUUCUCUCACUCGGACUCCCUCACAGAAAACACAGACAAUUCACUCAUUCUCAAAAAAUUGCCUCUCUCAGUAUCCCUCUCACUCUCUAAAGAAACAGAAAAAACCUUUCUUCUUCCUUCCGCCGCCACCCUUCAUUCCUCACUAUCAGUUCCCCAUCUUCAAAAACCCUUCCUCUCCAAUCAUCUCCCUUCAUCCACCCGCAACAACCCAUCCGUCACCAUAGAACCUCCACCACAACCUCACCAUCAACAUCCGCCACCGUAAACCAGCAUCUUCGCCAUCUUAACCGCUUCUCUACCCUCGCGAAUCCACCGCUCGCAACCCAUCCAAAACCCUUUCCGCCGUCAAAAAACGCGAAGCCCUUCAUCUUCUUCAAACUCAACCGUCAAAACCCCACCACCAGCAAAUAAACCUACCGCGCGUCACCACCAACAUCUCAAAGACCGACCACACCACUACCGCCGCUCACCUUCCUCAACAACCUUCACUCCGCCGCUGAAACCCACAAAACAACCUUCAUUGUUCCUCGCCGGUUUUAUCCUCUUUUGUUAACCUCGCAUCCGAGAUACCGCCAUCGUGUCGGUAACUUCGACUCAACAGAAGCUGAAGUUUCUGAUUUACUUACUGAUAUUUGGCUUCGAGUUUACUGCAGAAUUCUUCCAAACAACAAAUCAAAGUCCGCAUUUCUAUAAUUUCCAAGCCGUGUCCAAGGUCGGUUCUCACCAUUUCCGACGAUAGCAAAGGUUGACGCAGAUCUCGCCUUCGCCAUUCUCUAUCCGCAUUAAUCCUGGGAAUGUUAGCAUUAAUCCUGUUUCAAGGCGGAUUCGGUUUCCAUGGCAGCACACUCCGGUAUUGUUUGGCCGAAGGAUACUUCUAGGAAUAUCUUAGUUUCUUCAUAGAAGUUGAAAAAAUCAAAGAAUUAUUAUUUUUUUUAUUUUAUUUAUUUAUUUUUAGUAUGUGAAAUUUCGUAACUGAUGGUGAAGUGGUGUGUACGUUGAGUUUUGCUAUGGCAUUCAUGUACCUUGGGUUCCUUUAUUCAUCAUAGGUUGUUAUUACAUUGUUUGAUUAAUAGUUUUCAUAAUA